rnacentral:rRNA from 1 species
GACGAACGCUGGCGGCGUGCUUAACACAUGCAAGUCGAACGGAAGGGCCCUGCUUUUGUGGGGUGCUCGAGUGGCGAACGGGUGAGUAACACGUGAGUAACCUGCCCUUGACUUUGGGAUAACUUCAGGAAACUGGGGCUAAUACCGGGUAGGAGCUCCUGCUGCAUGGUGGGGGAUGGAAAGUUUCGGCGGUUGGGGCUGGACUCGCGGCUUAUCAGCUGGUUUGGGUGGUAGGGGCUUACCAAGGGUUUGACGGGUAGCCGGCCUGGGAGGGGGACCGGCCUCCAUGGUACUGAGAUACGGCCCAGAAUCCUACGGGACGCAACAGUGGAGAAUAUGACACAAUGGCCGGAAGCCUGAUGCGGCAGCGCCGCGUGCGGGAUGACGGCUUUCGGGUUGUAAACCGAUUUCGCAUGAGACGAAGCGAGAGUGACGGUAAUGGGUAAGGAAGCAACGGCUAACUACGUG